rnacentral:rRNA from 1 species
AUACGGAGGAUCCGAGCGUUAUCCGGAUUUAUUGGGUUUAAAGGGUGCGCAGGCGGCCAUUUAAGUCAGCGGUUAAAUCGUGGGGCUCAACCCCAUUCUGCCGUUGAUACUGGGUGGCUUGAUUGCGGUCGAGGUUGGCGGAGUUCGUUGGGUAGCGGUGAAAUGCAUAGAUAUGACGAAGAACACCGAUUGCGUAGGCAGCUGACCAGACCGCAAAUGACGCUCAUGCACGAAAGUGCGGGGAUCGAACAGGAUUAGAUACCCUGGUAGUCCGCACAGUAAACGAUGAAUACUUGUUUUCGGCGAUAUAAUGUCGGAGGCAAAGCGAAAGCGAUAAGUAUUCCACCUGGGGAGUACGCCGGCAACGGUGAAACUCAAAGGAAUUGACGGGG